rnacentral:tRNA from 1 species
GUCGUGGCUCAGUAGGUAGAGCGUUCGGCUGUUAACCGAUUGGUCGCAGGUUCAAGUCCUGCCGACG